AGUUUGAUCCUGGCUCAGAUUGAACGCUGGCGGCAUGCUUUACACAUGCAAGUCGAACGGUAACAGGUCUUCGGAUGCUGACGAGUGGCGAACGGGUGAGUAAUACAUCGGAACGUGCCUAGUAGUGGGGGAUAACUACUCGAAAGAGUAGCUAAUACCGCAUGAGAUCUACGGAUGAAAGCAGGGGACCUUCGGGCCUUGUGCUACUAGAGCGGCUGAUGGCAGAUUAGGUAGUUGGUGGGGUAAAGGCUUACCAAGCCUGCGAUCUGUAGCUGGUCUGAGAGGACGACCAGCCACACUGGGACUGAGACACGGCCCAGACUCCUACGGGAGGCAGCAGUGGGGAAUUUUGGACAAUGGGCGAAAGCCUGAUCCAGCAAUGCCGCGUGCAGGAUGAAGGCCCUCGGGUUGUAAACUGCUUUUGUACGGAACGAAAAGCCUGGGGCUAAUAUCCCCGGGUCAUGACGGUACCGUAAGAAUAAGCACCGGCUAACUACGUG
rnacentral:rRNA from 1 species